CUUUCACUGAUCAGUUAUAUUCUGUGCAUUGAGCACAAUUUAAUGGCUAAAACAUCAAAUACUGUUGUUGAUUACAUUGGAAGUUAUGCAACUUCACAUGACUGUUUCAUUUUAGUAUAUGAUUCAUUAAUGUGAUUUCACUCCUUAUAACACAUUAUUUGCAGUAACACACUAUUUUUGUAUACUUCAAUCGAACUACAUAUAUGAAACUGUCAAGGUUCAAGCUGCAGUCAGAAUCAUCCUUGGGUGUGCCAUUGAUGGUGUCUCACUUAUAUUGCCAAACGUAAAUGGAUGUCUUGUAUGGAACAAAUAAACCAUUAAGAAUGAGGAUGAUGAUGCCAAUGAGAGCGGAAGAUCUAGCAUGGUAGAAGAAGGUUUUCAAGAAAGGUGGCAGACAAUAUCCUAUGGGACUGAAUCAUGUACAGUAAGGUGCAGUUUGGCAAGGAGGAAUGUUAUGCUGGUGUAGACCAUGUGCUACGAGAAAAGGAUUCCAUACGUUUGGUGAUGAUGCAGUCUUCUCCUUCCAGAACAAAUAAGAGGAGUUGAAGUAGGCGUUGAUGCUGGACCAGCAACGUGCUUCCCAACACUAAAUCUUAUGCCCGGAAGACCUGCUUGCAUAUCUGCUGCAUCGACAACAACCGUGUUCAAUAAAGCACUGGCAUGUGGACCAGAAAGAGUAGCACGCAUGUUGCCAUCUUACGCUAUCAUAUUUGGAGUGCCAUACCAAUCAUCUCAAGACAGCUGAAGUGGUUCGCGGAAGGAUCCUCCAUUAACCUUCUAAGAAUCGCCAUGUUCCGGAUAUCAUAUCAUAGCAACGAGGUGGGUGAAGGGUACCAACAUCGAUUUUUAUAUAUUAAAGAAUAAUUAUAGUGCAUGUACUCUCUACAGUUGAAAUAUCGAUGUCAAGCAGCCCUACAUAAUUCUUUUUCUU